rnacentral:piRNA from 1 species
UCAGUGUGUCAGACACGAGGCC